CUUAACUCGUCCCGCAGCUAUCUCAGGCAUGCGUGGGGGGCGCGGUGUUUGAACUGUCUGUCCAACACAGUCAAGAUUUCAUGUGUGGCAGGUUCCCAAGCAGAGAAGCUGCCUGCCAGUGUUCUGCAUAAAACACGCUCCCUCAUUAUUUGCUGAAAGAACUCUCCUGUGACCUUGGACUACUUCUCUCCUGCUUUAUGCUCCAUCUCUUUCUUGAAAGGAAACGGGAGAUUCAGAAACUCCAUUCUUGAGCUUGGGCCGGGACUUGUUCAUGCUCUGAGCCCAGGGUCUUCCAUCCAAGGGCUACUGGAUGUCACAGAGACAUCGCGAGCUGUCAGGCAUCAAGGUCACUGCCAGCAGACCCCUCACCGCCAAGCCCCCAGACGGGAACAGGGUGAGUGCCAGCGCCGCCGGCUCCGAGUUCACCAGGCUCACGGUCCAUGGACGAGAUCCCUACCUGGCUCGUCGGUCAGCCCGAAACUUCAGCAUCUUUUUGGCAGCUCAGUCCCCAGUUGGGCAGCCUCGGAGGACCCACCAGCCACCCUGCUGCUACCAUCCCUCUGAGAAGUAAGUCCUCGGGCCGUGGCAGAGGAACAGCGCAAGCGGUGGCAGGCUGUCUGCUGGUUGCCCCUCUUCCCGGCUCUGGCAUUAGAGAACAGGGAGGGGGCUCUCCCUGGGUGAUGGUAGGGGUCACCCAGGUGCCCCAGCGGGCCUGCAGCUUCCUAGGAUCCGGCUGGACUACCACCGGUCAGAGGACUGGAGACUGGAUAAGCGAGGAGGGGACGGCAUCCUCCUCGUUCAGGUUCCCAAGGAGAAAAUGCAGCCACGGAGAGUUGGGGCGUGCACUGAGCAGGUGAACCACCUCCAGGUAGUGCGACCUCACUGAGCUAAGGACACAGAGUGGCUGGGCGGGCGGAGGAGCAUGGGGCUGCAUUCCCAUCUGCACGGCAGAAACUCAUGCCAGCUCGACCUGCAGGGAGACGGUGCUGCUUCCCAGCUCCCAGCCCAGACACAGGCUCUGGAGCUGAAAAUCAACUCUGCUUCUCAGACACCCUUCAGAGCCUGAGGGUACAGGGUUAAGGGAAGCUCCAGGUUCAUUCCCUGUUAUUGCUGCCGCUGCUGAGAGGCUGAGAUUAAUUGAGAAAGUCUCCUUUCUCUUCUCCUCUGCCUACCCAGCCUGCUGUACAGACAGAAGCCACUGGCCUCUGCCCAGCUGCCCUCAGACCCAGCAGCUCUUCUGCCCUCUGGGAGCCGUAGUCCAGCUGGGAGGGACGGGACUUGUGGAUCCAGAGUGUGGAUGUCGGGGAGCCAGAGCUGAUGGCAAGGAACUGGGCUUCUCUGCUCUGGCGAAAUGGAAGGAAAGCUUCCUCCCUAGGCUUGUGAGGAAGAGGGCAGCAAAUGGGGCUUGAGAAGGGGUCACUGUGUGUUUACUGCUGCAAAUCUUCCCAGAUGCAAGAUGAUAAAUUCCAGCUGGUGCCUGUCAGAUCAACUCACGAGCAAGGAGGUUUUGCACUGAUGUUAAUUCCCCCGAAUUCCCCAGAAGCCAAAGCUGGUCAAAUCUCCCCCUUUCCUAAUGUCUUCCUUGUCUUGGGAUCCUUGGUCUUGGAGGACUUCUUGAAGGUCACCUCCUCCCACCCCUGUCUCCAGGCAAGCAGGCUCACUAAUCAAUGCUCAUCUCAAUGAAAGCACCUUGGUGGUUUGCAAAGGGUUCUAGCAAAGGACACCCUGGCCCACCCAGUUACCUUACCCUGCCAAGAUGUUCUUUUUGAUAUCAAAUUCCCGUUCCUCUGGUUUUCUAUAUUAUUCCAUUUUGUCUUCACAUGACAGGUUCCUUUCAAACCAACGGGGCUCUUUUUUAGCAAGACCAGGCAUUGUGUUGACAUCAUAGUCUGUUGCUAUGGUAAUUCUGUGAUAUCACAACAGACACUGAAAAGGAGGGGCUAAUCUAAUUGUUUGGAUGGAGGAUAGAACUUGGUCAGGGAACAAUGUCAUCAGUGAAUGGAAAAGCAAAUGGACAACAUUAUUAUUUAACCCAUGAAGAGUCAAGCUGGUUGGGAUAUAACUGGGGUCAACAGCUGCUGAUGUUUAAACAGCUAAUCCUAAAUCCAAAAGAUCAAUAUAUUCAGCCAUUUAGUGGGACUUUUGCAAAUGAUUCAUCCUGGUGACAGGAGGCCUAAGUUUUCAGAUCAUGCCCUCUUCCUGCUGCUGAUCCAGUUAAUGGAGCCCUGCUGUGGUUGUGCUGUGCUGAGCCCUCUUCUGAGGCCUGUUUUGAGGUCCCUGCCUGUGCAUAGUAGGUGCUCCAUAAACAUUUGUUGAAUGAGUACAUGAAUGAAUGAAAGAAACUCUCUGG